rnacentral:rRNA from 1 species
GACGAACGCUGGCGGCGUGCCUAAUACAUGCAAGUCGAACGCAGUGGGGACGGGUGCGUAACACGUGGGUAACCUCCCAUCAGAGGGGAUAACACUUGGAAACAGGUGCUAAACCGAUACUGAUGGAUGGACCCGCGGUGCAUUAGCUAGUUGGUGAGGUAACGGCUCACCAAGGCCACGAUGCAUAGCCGACCGGAGAGGGUGAAGGGACACACUGGGACUGAGACCGGGCCGAGACGCAUAGGAGAGGCAGCAGUAGGGAAUCUUGGACAAUGGACGAAAGUCGGACCGAGAAAGGCCGCGUGAGUGAAGAAGGUUUUCGGAUCGGAAAACUCUGUUGUUAGAGAAACGGUAUCUAACCAGAAAGCCACGGCUAACUACGUGCCAGCAGCCGCGGUAAUAC